rnacentral:rRNA from 1 species
AUUGAACGCUGGCGGCAGGCCCAACACAUGCAAGUCGAACGGUAGCACAGGGAGCUUGCUCUCGGGUGACGAGUGGCGGACGGGUGAGUAAUGUCUGGGAAACUGCCUGAUGGAGGGGGAUAACUACUGGAAACGGUAGCUAAUACCGCAUAACGUCGCAAGACCAAAGAGGGGGACCUUCGGGCCUCUUGCCAUCGGAUGUGCCCAGAUGGGAUUAGCUUGUUGGUGAGGUAAAGGCUCACCAAGGCGACGAUCCCUAGCUGGUCUGAGAGGAUGACCAGCCACACUGGAACUGAGACACGGUCCAGACUCCUACGGGAGGCAGCAGUGGGGAAUAUUGCACAAUGGGCGCAAGCCUGAUGCAGCCAUGCCGCGUGUGUGAAGAAGGCCUUCGGGUUGUAAAGCACUUUCAGCGGGGAGGAAGGCGGUGAAUUUAAUAAGCUCACCGAUUGACGUUACCCGCAGAAGAAGCACCGGCUAACUCCGUGCCAGCAGCCGCGGUAA